CGAGCGAUGAGGCUCCUUCGGGGGUACAUCAGCGGCAGACGGGUGAGUAACACGUAGGUGACCUACCCUCGAGACGGGAAUAACGGCUGGAAACAGUCGCUAAUACCCGAUAGACUUACCAGGUCAAAGCGGUAAGAAAAGCUACGGUGCUUGAGGAGGGGCCUGCGGCCCAUCAGCUAGUUGGUAGGGUAACGGCCUACCAAGGCGAAGACGGGUAGGGGGUGUGAGAGCACGAGCCCCCACAAUGGGACUGCGAUACGGCCCAUACUCCUACGGGGGGCAGCAGCAGGGAAUAUUGCACAGUGGACGGAAGUCUGAUGCAGCGACGCCGCGUGAAGUGAAGACGGCCUUCGGGUUGUAAAGCUCUUUUACGGGGGACGAGGAAGGACGGUACCCUGGGAAGAAGUGUCGGUUAACUACGUGCCAGCAGCCGCGGUAAGACGUAGGACACAAGCGUUAUCCGGAGUUACUGGGCGUAAAGCGCCUGCAGGCGGCCUGGUAAGUUGGACGUGAGAACCCGGGCUUUACCCGGGGAGCUCGGCCAAUACGCCAAGCCUAGAUGCGUCAGAGGGGAAUGGAAUUCCCGGAUUACGGUAAAAUGCCAGAUAUCGGAGGGUACACCAGUGCCGUUACGACUCCCUUGGGCGCGACUGACGCUUAGAGGCGUAAGCUAGGGUAUCGAACAGGAUUAGAGACCCUGGUAGUCCUAGCCCUUAACGAUGGAUGCUAGGUUUGGGACGUAAAGUUCCGUGCCGUAGCCUACGCGAUAAGCAUCCCGCUUGGGGACUACGGUCGCAAGGCUUAAACUCAAACGAAUUGACGGGGACCCGGACAAGCAGCGGAGCGUGUGGUUCAAUUCGAUGCUACACGAAGAACCUUUACCUGGGUUUUGACAUGUACGUGGUAGAGAAGCGAAAGCGGAUUGACCCUUCGGGGAGCGUACACAGGUGCUGCAUGGCUGUCGUCAGCUCGUGCCGUGAGGUGUCGGGUUAAGUCCCGUAACGAGCGCAACCCUUAUCCUUAGUUGCACGUAUCUAGGGAGACUGCCGGCGGGAAGCCGGAGGAAGGUGGGGAUGACGUCAAGUCAGCAUGGCCCUUAUGUCCAGGGCUACACACACGCUACAAUGGCCGGUACAAAGGGCAGCAAAGUCGCGAGGCGGAGCGAAUCCCAACAAAGCCGGUCGUAGUUCGGAUUGCAGGCUGCAACUCGCCUGCAUGAAGCUGGAGUUGCUAGUAACCGCGCGUCAGCUAUAGUGCGGUGAAUACGUACCCGGGUCUUGUACACACCGCCCGUCACGUCAUGGAAGUCGGUAACGCCUGAAGGCGGUAGCCUA
rnacentral:rRNA from 1 species